UCCAUGCAGCGCUGUCGAUCAAACCAGGAAAAUUGAAAUGAUUAAAAAUAACUUCAUAAUAUCGUAUUCACUCAGUUUUUUAUAUUAGCCAUUUUUUUCCUGUAGUCGAGUCAUUUUAUUUAUUUAUUUUUGUUUAGAACACGAGACUUUUUAAAAAGGCGCUAAACUACUGCGCACACACCGCGGGAUUCAAAUGAAUUUCUUCCUUGAGCGUCACCUAUUAGUAGAUUGUGCUGUCGGAGAAGUUUAGUUGCACUAAUUUGUUUUUUCCUCCUAUCAACGAUCGCCACAGCGUAAGUUUCCUAUCUUUCCAUUGUCUCUUGGGAACUAACAGAAGCCUAACAAUGCCAAGAAGCUGCUUGCACUUGAUACUCCAGAUAAGAAAGAUGACACCACAUGGCUUAUAUACUGGAUAGUGUUUUCACUUUACAACAUUUUGGAAUUUCCUGCUGAUUUUCUUCUGUCAUGGUUUCCUUUAUAUCCACUUGUAAA